rnacentral:tRNA from 1 species
GGAGACGUGUCAGAGUGGUCUAACGUACCUCUUUGCUAAAGAGGCAGGGACUUAAAUCCCUCGGAGGUUCGAAUCCUCUCGUCUCCGCCA